CUACGUGCCAGCAGCCGCGGUAAUACGGAAGGUCCAGGCGUUAUCCGGAUUUAUUGGGUUUAAAGGGAGCGUAGGCUGGAGAUUAAGUGUGUUGUGAAAUGUAGACGCUCAACGUCUGAAUUGCAGCGCAUACUGGUUUCCUUGAGUACGCACAACGUUGGCGGAAUUCGUCGUGUAGCGGUGAAAUGCUUAGAUAUGACGAAGAACUCCGAUUGCGAAGGCAGCUGACGGGAGCGCAACUGACGCUUAAGCUCGAAGGUGCGGGUAUCAAACAGGAUUAGAUACCCUGGUAGUCCGCACAGUAAACGAUGGAUGCCCGCUGUUGGUACCUGGUAUCAGCGGCUAAGCGAAAGCAUUAAGCAUCCCACCUGGGGAGUACGCCGGCAACGGUGAAACUCAAAGGAAUUGACGGGGGCCCGCACAAGCGGAGGAACAUGUGGUUUAAUUCGAUGAUACGCGAGGAACCUUACCCGGGCUKAA
rnacentral:rRNA from 1 species